rnacentral:rRNA from 1 species
UAGGGCACCUAAACAUGCAAGUCGAACGAGAAAGCUCCUUCGGGGGUGAGUAGAGUGGCGCACGGGUGAGUAACGCGUAGGUAACCUGCCCUUUUGUGGGGGAUAACCAGAAGAAAUUCUGGCUAAUACCGCAUACGUAGUACGACAUGGGAAAAGUACUAGAAAGGAUGCCUCUACUUGUAAGCAUUCACAGAAGGAUGGGCCUGCGUUGCAUUAGCUUGUUGGUGGGGUAAUGGCCUACCAAGGCGACGAUGCAUAGCUGGUCUGAAGGAUGAUCAGUCACACUGGAACUGAGACACGGUCCAGACUCCUACGGGAGGCAGCAGUGGGGAAUAUUGCGCAAUGGGGGAAACCCUGACGCAGCAAUGCCGCGUGAGUGAGGAAGGCCUUCGGGUUGUAAAGCUCUGUCAGAUAAAAGAAUGGUCACGGGUCUAAUAGGCGGGUGAUUUGACGGUACUAUCAAAGGAAGCACCGGCUAACUUCGUGCCAGCAGCCGCGGUAAUACGAGGGGUGCAAGCGUUGUUCGGAUUUACUGGGCGUAAAGCGCGCGCAAGCGGAUUAUUAAGCCAGAUGUGAAAUCCCGGGGCUCAACCCCGGAACUGCGUCUGGAACUGGUAAUCUAGAGUUAUAGAGGGGAGAGCGGAAUUUCGCAUGUAGGGGUAAAAUCCGUAGAGAUGCGAAGGAACACCAGCGCCGAAGGGGGCUCUCUGGCUAUUAACUGACGCUGAGGCGCGAAAGCGUGGGUAGCAAACAGGAUUAGAUACCCUGGUAGUCCACGCCGUAAACGAUGAGUACUAGAUAUUGGAGCCUUUGACCGCUUCAGUGUCGCAGCUAACGCAUUAAGUACUCCGCCUGGGAAGUACGGUCGCAAGACUAAAACUCAAAGGAAUUGACGGGGGCCCGCACAAGCGGUGGAUUAUGUGGUUUAAUUCGAAGCAACGCGCAGAACCUUACCUAGGCUUGAAAUCCCGAGAGAUCGACCAAAAUUGAUUGUGCUCUUCGGAGAACUCGUUGACAGGCGCUGCAUGUGUCGUCAGCUCGUGUCGUGAGAUUAGUCUCGCACGAGCGCACCCUAUGCGCAUGCUCUAGGUACCUGCUACGAAAGUCCGACGUCAGUCCAUCCUUAU